rnacentral:rRNA from 1 species
AUUGAACGCUGGCGGCAUGCCUUACACAUGCAAGUCGAACGGCAGCGGGGACUUCGGUCCGCCGGCGAGUGGCGAACGGGUGAGUAAUGUAUCGGAACGUACCUUUCAGUGGGGGAUAACGUAGCGAAAGUUACGCUAAUACCGCAUAUUCUCUGAGGAGGAAAGCAGGGGACCUUCGGGCCUUGUGCUGAUGGAGCGGCCGAUAUCAGAUUAGCUAGUUGGUUAGGUAAAGGCUCACCAAGGCGACGAUCUGUAGCGGGUCUGAGAGGAUGAUCGGCCGCACUGGAACUGAGACACGGCCCAGACUCCGACUGGCGGCAGCGGUGGCGAAUGUUGGCCAAUGGGCGCAAGACUGAUCUAGCCAUGCCGCGUGGGUGAAGAAGGCCUUCGGGUUGUAAAGCUCUUUCGGACGGGAAGAAAGUGGUGGGGCUAAUAUCCCCAUCGGAUGACGGUACCGUAAUAAGAAGCACCGGCUAACUACGUGCCAGCCGCCGCGGUAACAC